rnacentral:rRNA from 1 species
UAUCGUAAUUGAAGAGGUUUGGAAAGACCCACCACAGAAGGUAAUAGUCCUGUAUGUUAAACGAGAAGACUUUAGAUAUGAUCCAGAGUACCACGGGACACGUGAAACCCUGUGGGAAGCAGGAGGGACCACCCUCCAAGGCUAAAUACUACCUAGUGACCGAUAGCGUAUAGUACCGUGAGGGAAAGGUGAAAAGAACCCCGGGAGGGGAGUGAAAUAGAACCUGAAACCCUGCACUUACAAGCUGUGGAAGCACAUUUCUUGUGUGACCGCGUACUUUUUGUAGAACGGGCCAACGAGUUACGUUAAGUAGCAAGGUUAAGCACUUAAGGUGCGGAGCCGUAGCGAAAGCGAGUUUUAACUGAGCGUUCAGUUACUUGACGUAGACCCGAAACCGGGCGACCUACCCAUGAGCAGGAUGAAGCGAAAGUAAAAUUUCGUGGAGGUCCGAACCCACGAGCGUUGAAAAGCUCGGGGAUGACUUGUGGGUAGCGGUGAAAUUCCAAUCGAGCCCGGAGAUAGCUGGUUCUCCCCGAAAUAGCUUUAGGGCUAGCCUCAAGGUGAGAGAUACGGAGGUAGAGCACUG